rnacentral:rRNA from 1 species
GACGAACGCUGGCGGCGUGCCUAAUACAUGCAAGUUGAGCGCUGAAGGUUGGUACUUGUACCAACUGGAUGAGCAGCGAACGGGUGAGUAACGCGUGGGGAAUCUGCCUUUGAGCGGGGGACAACAUUUGGAAACGAGUGCUAAUACCGCAUAAAAACUUUAAACGCAAGUUUUAAGUUUGAAAGAUGCAAUUGCAUCACUCAAAGAUGAUCCCGCGUUGUAUUAGCUAGUUGGUGAGGUAAAGGCUCACCAAGGCGAUGAUACAUAGCCGACCUGAGAGGGUGAUCGGCCACAUUGGGACUGAGACACGGCCCAAACUCCUACGGGAGGCAGCAGUAGGGAAUCUUCGGCAAUGGACGAAAGUCUGACCGAGCAACGCCGCGUGAGUGAAGAAGGUUUUCGGAUCGUAAAACUCUGUUGGUAGAGAAGAACGUUGGUGAGAGUGGAAAGCUCAUCAAGUGACGGUAACUACCCAGAAAGGGACGGCUAACUACGUG